GUCUAUGGCCAUGCCACCCUGAACGGGCCGAUCCCAUCUGAUCUCGGAAGCUAAGCAGGGUCGGGCCUGGUUAGUACUUGGAUGGGAGACCAAGCAGGAAGACCAGGUGCUGUAGGCG
rnacentral:rRNA from 1 species